GAUGAAGAACGUAGCGAAAUGCGAUACGUAAUGUGAAUUGCAGAAUUCAGUGAAUCAUCGAGUCUUUGAACGCACAUUGCGCCCCCUGGUAUUCCGGGGGGCAUGCCUGUCCGAGCGUCAUUGCUGCCCUCAAGCACGGCUUGUGUGUUGGGCCUCCGCCCCCCGGCUCCCGGGGGGCGGGCCCGAAAGGCAGCGGCGGCACCGCGUCCGGUCCUCGAGCGUAUGGGGCUUCGUCACCCGCUCCGUAGGCCCGACCGGCGCCCGCCGGCGACCCCCCUCAAUCUUUCCAGGUUGACCUCGGAUCAGGUAGGGAUACCCGCUGAACUUAAGCAUAUCAAUAAGCGGAGGA
rnacentral:misc_RNA from 1 species